rnacentral:tRNA from 1 species
GCACGGGUAGCGAAGCGGUCAAACGUGCUGGCUUCAGGAGCCAGUGGCUUAGUGCCUUCGGGGGUUCAAAUCCUCCCCCGUGCA